GACGAGAGGCGGACGGGUGAGUAAUACGUAGGAAUCUACCUUGUUGAGAGGGAUAGCCUAGGGAAACUUAGGGUAAUACCGCAUAAGCCUGAGAGGGGAAAGCCGGGGAGCCGCAAGGUCCUGGCGCAAUAAGAUGAGCCUACGUCGGAUUAGCUAGUUGGUGGGGUAAAGGCCUACCAAGGCGACGAUCCGUAGCUGGUCUGAGAGGACGACCAGCCACACUGGGACUGAGACACGGCCCAGACUCCUACGGGAGGCAGCAGUGGGGAAUAUUGGACAAUGGGCGGAAGCCUGAUCCAGCAAUGCCGCGUGUGUGAAGAAGGCCUGAGGGUUGUAAAGCACUUUCAGUGGGGAGAAAGAGGCCGUUGUUAAUACCAAUGGCAGAUGAUGUUACCCACAGAAGAAGCACCGGCUAACUCUGUGCCAGCAGCCGCGGUAAUACAGAGGGUGCGAGCGUUAAUCGGAAUUACUGGGCGUAAAGGGUGCGUAGGUGGUUUAGUAAGUUAGAUGUGAAAUUCCUGGGCUUAACCUGGGGACUGCGUCUGAUA
rnacentral:rRNA from 1 species